GUACCCAGGCCAAGGGUUUUGUAAACAAUUCGUAGAAGCACAGUCGACAUCAACUUUACAGAAGGAAAGAAUUGGUAUGAAUGAUCAAGUCAACAAGUAAAUCAGUAUUAAUAUUAAGUAACGAAACAGUCCUGUUAAAGAUGUCGAUUGAUAGAUUUCGUUUGAAAUUGGAGUACAAUACUUAGUGGACUGCAGCCAAGUACAACUAUUCCAUGAAACAGAGCUUUCCAAGAAAUGACAAAGACAAUAAAGGGUUACAAGGAAAUACUGUUAAUAAUGAAAAUAUGGGAUAAAACAGAAACUGCAAGAAAACCACAGAAGAUGCAUCAAUACCACCGGGGAGGUAUGGUCACAAUUGGAUUCAGCCUUGCUGAGAUCACAUUUGGAGUAAUGUACAGAUUUUUGGUCUCCUAACCCAAGAAAGAAUAUAUUUGCCAGAGAAGACAUGAAGUGAGGAUAGUGCAAAUGUCCGGUGAAGGGAAUUUGAAAAGAAUAUCUUUAUUUGCUAGAGUUUGAGAAUGAAAGAUUAUCUAAUUUUUCCUUAUGAGCAUGUGGUCACAAUGAGGAACUAGAACAAGGGUAGAGUCUCAGACUAAUGAGAACACCACUAGCACAGAGAUGAGAGAAUUUUUUUGUGUGUGUUUAUGUGAUGUUACCAAAUUGGAACAGUUGCUGUUUAGUAGUUAAACAAUUAUGCUGUUAAGUUUUCCAAUAGAGUUAAUUAUUCCAAUUUCUUUCUGAAAGGUCAUUCAACCCAAAGCAUAAACUCGGAAUUCUCACCCACAAAUGCUGCCAGACUUUGAGCUUUUCCAACAAUUUCUGUUUUUGCUGCUUUCUUUUCUUGUAUUUUAAUUAUAGUCUAUGAAUAAAAAGUGUGUUUUGCUUCAAGACAGGUAGUUUGACCAAUCGAAAUGCAUCCAGAACACACUGUCUGGCAUUUGCCUUUUAAAAAUAAAAUGUUAGGGUCCACGCUAUCCUCCGAAUAUAUUUUGAGGGAGCUUGGUUUGGUUCAUAUUAAAUUAAUGACAGAUCAAGAAUAAAAUAAAGAGGAACUAAAAUUGAAUAGAUAAGUAACAAUUACCAAAACCAGUCUUAAAGAAAGGCUGGAAUGAAGGACUAGUGUUCAGGUAGGGAAAUUACAAAUGAAAUAGAUGCCAUGCCAUUAUUGACCAGAGAAGCUUUAUACAUGUAUAAAGACAGGAAAUUGUCUUUAUGAAGAGAUAUGUAGAGGUGAGAAAAACGUAAAAAUAUUCACCAUUUUAAAGUGUGGGUAUACAGUGGCAACAGAUAAUCAACUUAAACUCAGAUUAUUUUUGGAAGAUGCAACCUGUUAAAAGUUGCAAGUUUGACAAAAGACAAAUUACUUAAAAGAAAUGCAAAGCCAUCUCAAGACAGAGGCAAGAGAACCAACAAAUUACAAAGUGGUGGAGGCUUGCAAAAAGCAUGACUCCUGCAGUCUAGAUCCAUGAAAAUCUAUUACAGGGUCAGGAAGACAUCAACAAACCCAAAACUACUGUGUGAACAUCAGUGUCAUCAUAGAUAGGCCCAUUGGAUCUAACCAGUGGAAAUACACACUGGAACUAGUAUUUCAAGAGAGGUUCCAAGAGUCUUUGGCAGAUUUGUUGAAAGAGAACCUGCUACCUUCAUGACUAUUUAAAAUAAAUUUACCUGGUUCCACCAUAAACAAUUCCAGAGAGUAAUCAGGGAGCAGAGAACAUUAAAGGUAAUUCCAACAUUGACUACUUACUGCUAACUGCAUCCAAGAAAUUAGCUAAACAAUUUUGGCCUAGAAGAAUCAAAGGAUGCUAAAUUUAAAAUUCCUUUAUUGUCCUUUGUAAUAAAUACUUAACCUUUAAAAUUGUGCAAGCUACACGAGAGCCUUAUCAUUGAUCUUGUAUCUUAUUUUUCCACUAGUUUUUCAGGCAAUAAAUUUUUUUAACACAAUAAACCAGUUGAUUUGCUCCUUUUUGCUUACAGUAAACAAAAACAUUUCAAUUGCAUCUAGGCCUAUAUACUUUGAAGUUGAGAUCUCUAAUUGAUGUACAGAAGAUAGAAGGGGCAGCACGGUGACUCAGUAGUGAACAGAAUCAGGUAAUCAGGGAGGACAUUUGAAAUGGAAGGUUAAAAUGGGCUAAGAUCGCUCCUGCAAAAAAUAAUUUCAGGUUCAGACCUUGUU